ACGCUGGCGGCAGGCCUAACACAUGCAAGUCGAGCGGCAGCGGGAAGUAGUUUACUACUUUGCCGGCGAGCGGCGGACGGGUGAGUAAUGUCUGGGGAUCUGCCUGAUGGAGGGGGAUAACUACUGGAAACGGUAGCUAAUACCGCAUGACCUCGCAAGAGCAAAGUGGGGGACCUUAGGGCCUCACGCCAUCGGAUGAACCCAGAUGGGAUUAGCUAGUAGGUGGGGUAAUGGCUCACCUAGGCGACGAUCCCUAGCUGGUCUGAGAGGAUGACCAGCCACACUGGAACUGAGACACGGUCCAGACUCCUACGGGAGGCAGCAGUGGGGAAUAUUGCACAAUGGGCGCAAGCCUGAUGCAGCCAUGCCGCGUGUGUGAAGAAGGCCUUCGGGUUGUAAAGCACUUUCAGCGAGGAGGAAGGGGUUGAGUUUAAUACGCUCAAUCAUUGACGUUACU
rnacentral:rRNA from 1 species